rnacentral:rRNA from 1 species
CCUACGGGUGGCAGCAGUGGGGAAUAUUGCACAAUGGGGGAAACCCUGAUGCAGCGACGCCGCGUGAGUGAAGAAGUAAUUCGUUAUGUAAAGCUCUAUCAGCAGGGAAGAAAAUGACGGUACCUGAGUAAGAAGCCCCGGCUAACUACGUGCCAGCAGCCGCGGUAAUACGUAGGGGGCAAGCGUUAUCCGGAUUUACUGGGUGGAAAGGGAGCGUAGACGGCAGUGUAAGUCUGGAGUGAAAGGCGGGGGCUCAACCCACGGACUGCUCUGGAAACUGUACGGCUGGAGUGCAGGAGAGGUAAGUGGAAUUCCUAGUGUAGCGGUGAAAUGCGUAGAUAUUAGGAGGAACACCAGUGGCGAAGGCGGCUUACUGGACUGUAACUGACGUUGAGGCUCGAAAGCGUGGGGAGCAAACAGGAUUAGAUACCCCUGUAGUC